rnacentral:rRNA from 1 species
CCUACGGGAGGCAGCAGUGGGGAAUAUUGGGCAAUGGGCGCAAGCCUGACCCAGCAACGCCGCGUGAAGGAAGAAGGCUUUCGGGUUGUAAACUUCUUUUGUCAGGGACGAAGCACGUGACGGUACCUGACGAAUCAGCCACGGCUAACUACGUGCCAGCAGCCGCGGUAAUACGUAGGUGGCAAGCGUUAUCCGGAUUUACUGGGUGUACAGGGCGUGUAGGCGGGACGGCAAGUCAGAUGUGAAAACCACGGGCUCAACCUGUGGCCUGCAUUUGAAACUGUAGUUCUUGAGUACUGGAGCGGCAGACGGAAUUCCUAGUGUAGCGGUGAAAUGCGUAGAGAUCAGGAGGAACACCAGUGGCGAAGGCGGUCUGCUGGACAGUAACUGACGUUGAGGCGCGAAAGCGUGGGGAGCAAACAGGAUUAGAUACCCGUGUAGUC